GUGGACUCACUCCUCUGGUACUGCAGCAGGUAGCCCUGCAGGACUCCGUUGGGCUGGGCAGGAGGUUUCCAGUGCAGAGUCAUCUCCGUCUCGGAUGGGCUGUCCAGCUCAAGGGAGACUGGUGGACUGGGAACUGUAAAGAUUUCCCAACAGAAGCCCAGAUGCAUCUCGAGAUUUAAAGUCUUCUGUGCCUUCUGGAUCACUUGGAAAGCCCUGGAGUUUCCAGAAUACUGCAGUGGACUUUUCUCUGCAGCCCUCCCAGACAAACACACUCACUGCCUCAACUUGCUCAUUAGCUACUUUGUUGCCAAGUCCAAGCAAUAAAAAAAAAGAAGAAGAAAAGAAGAUUGUGCUCAUCUCUGCACCAGCACUUAAGGUCUAAGUAUGGAUGCAACAGAGAGUACAAUAAUACAUAGUGAUACAUAAUAGCAAUAACAUUAAAACCAGACACUACAAGAUAGCAUUUGAAACAUUAAUGCUACUUGUCCAGAUGCAUUUAAUGUCUUUAAAACCCUGACAUUGUUUUGUUUUGUCUGGCAUCUCUCUCUCAUUCUCUCUCUCUCUCUCCCUGUUUUUUUCUCUCACUCACCUCCCUCUGGCGUGUGGAAGCUGAAAGGCUCGGAGGCUGGUCCCUCUCCUUUGCUGUUGAAGACGCUGACGCUAAUAGUGUAGCGCGAGUAUGGCUGCAGGUCCCCCACCAUCCUCUUCUGCUCGUUGGGGCCCGUGGCCACCACCACCUCCCUGGGCAGCUCACGCUCCCGCCGGGCCGGCUGCUCGCGGUGGUGCCGGGUCUGAGGCCCGUGGUUUCGCAGGUGGAUCUAACAGGAGAUGUGUAGAUAAGGCAGGAGGAGAGUGACAAACAUUGUUGAAUGAGAAAUUAUCAGGACAUUGGAAUCUUGGCACAACGCUCUAAUCAUGGACAUAGCUAAGAUGGCAGCAGCUAAGGGUUCAUCUGAGAUGUUCUUUUGAUUAAGAUUCUAUUACAUCUAUUUUAAUAGGGAUCUACUGUAUCAAUUAUUUUAUUGAAAAUGGCUGAAACCAAAAUAAAAAUGAUUCAAGUUC